rnacentral:rRNA from 1 species
CCUACGGGAGGCAGCAGUGGGGAAUUUUGGACAAUGGGCGAAAGCCUGAUCCAGCAAUGCCGCGUGAGUGAAGAAGGCCUUCGGGUUGUAAAGCUCUUUUGUCAGGGAAGAAACGGUGAGGGCUAAUAUCUCUUGCUAAUGACGGUACCUGAAGAAUAAGCACCGGCUAACUACGUGCCAGCAGCCGCGGUAAUACGUAGGGUGCAAGCGUUAAUCGGAAUUACUGGGCGUAAAGCGUGCGCAGGCGGUUUUGUAAGUCUGUCGUGAAAUCCCCGGGCUCAACCUGGGAAUUGCGAUGGAGACUGCAAGGCUAGAAUCUGGCAGAGGGGGGUAGAAUUCCACGUGUAGCAGUGAAAUGCGUAGAGAUGUGGAGGAACACCGAUGGCGAAGGCAGCCCCCUGGGUCAAGAUUGACGCUCAUGCACGAAAGCGUGGGGAGCAAACAGGAUUAGAUACCCUGGUAGUCCACGCCCUAAAACGAUGUCUACUAGUUGUCGGGUUUUAAUUAACUUGGUAACGCAGCUAACGCGUGAAGUAGACCGCCGUGGGGAGUACGGUCGCAAGAUUAAAACNCAAAGUGAAUUGACCGGCUGAGAGUAGCGACGGACGACGACGAGGGAGGAGG